rnacentral:lncRNA from 1 species
CGCCCCUUCCGCAGGGCGCGCUCUGAAGAGCCCCCCCCUCGCCCAUGGGCCCGCCCCCAGUAGCUCCGAUCCCGCCCCUUCUUUGGGGCGCGCUCCGUAGAGUCUCUGAGCUGGACUGGACCCAUGGCUCAUCCCGUUUCGGUGCGGAUCCAGCGCAGCGCCCGCGCCCGGCGUGCCUAAAGAGCUGUCACGCUGAGACUUUCUCCAGGAGCUGGGGCGGAGUGCUGAUAUUUUUAUAGCAGCAGAGUGUGCCAGAGGCCAGCAGCUGCUCGGGGAAGGCACUGCUAGGCUGCUUCACCACAGUCCUGGAGAAUGGAUGAUGGCUGUCUGAUGAUGCACUGGAACCUGGGCACUUGCUUGUCAUCCCACUCUUGCAACCCUCCCAGGAACUGUGUGGCUCCUUUGGUCAGAGAAGGACUGUAACAGAGGCCUGACUCUUUCCUGUUGAUGUUUAGCUUUUCAAUCUUAACGUUGGUAGCAUAUAUUCUCCUAACAUGGAAGAGAAGAAACUUAAUGAAAGUGAUUAUACAUGUAAGGAUCAAUCCAUGUACACAUGGAGAAAAUAUUUAAUGUGCCAGACCCUGAAAUUAUGUGCUAAGCAAUGAAAUAAAGUGGCAAGCCACCACUGAAAAAUACAAACCAAAGAGCAAGUUUUUAUGUGCAUUUUAAACUAUUUAGAGAUGAUAAAGUUGAAGGAAACAGCAAAUAUUUUCAUUUAUUCAUAUGGUAGUUGUAUGAACAGAAAAAAUUCUGGAGCAAUGUAUACUUUGUUAACACCAAAACAGAAUGGCAUUUCUGGGGAGUUUUCACUUUUGAUGUUGUAUGUGUUUGUAGUAGUCUAACAUUAUAGCAAAUAUGCUGCACUAUUUGUAAUGAUAGGAAAACCGAUAAAGUUAAAUAAUAGCAAAUUUACUGGGAAGAGAAGAUGACAUUACCAAAAAGCUGGAGCAGAUAUGGGAAGGCAGGAACUCUCACACUCCUCACUUGGGAGAAUAAAUUGGCACAACUUGGGGAAGUAACUGAUCACAUCUAGCAAGUUGCAACAGCACAUGCCCUUUGACAUGGCAAUUCCCCAUCUAGGAAUGUGCCCUAGGGAGUUAACACACAUGGCACACGUGUGCACAAGACGUGGACGGCAGCACUGUCUGUGAUGGUGAAAAAAAUUGGAAACCUACACGUAUACAUGUAGAAGGUAUACAUUGUGGCAUACUCACUGAAGAGAAAACUCUUAUCACAGUUGAAAAUGAGUAAACCCUAUCCUACAG